AUUGAACGCUGGCGGCAGGCCUAACACAUGCAAGUCGAGCGGCAGCGGGAAAGUAGCUUGCUACUUUUGCCGGCGAGCGGCGGACGGGUGAGUAAUGCCUGGGGAUCUGCCCAGUCGAGGGGGAUAACUACUGGAAACGGUAGCUAAUACCGCAUACGCCCUACGGGGGAAAGCAGGGGACCUUCGGGCCUUGCGCGAUUGGAUGAACCCAGGUGGGAUUAGCUAGUUGGUGAGGUAAUGGCUCACCAAGGCUACGAUCCCUAGCUGGUCUGGGAGGGUGAGCAGCCACACUGGAACUGAGACACGGUCGCGACUCCUACGGGAGGCAGCAGUGGGGAAUAUUGCACAAUGGGGGAGACCCUGAUGCAGCCAUGCCGCGUGUGGGAAGAAGGCCUUCGGGUUGUAAAGCACUUUCAGCGAGGAGGAAAGGUUGGUAGCUAAUAACUGCCAGCUGUGACGUUACUCGCAGAAGAAGCACCGGCUAACUCCGUGCCAGCAGCCGCCGUAACAC
rnacentral:rRNA from 1 species